rnacentral:rRNA from 1 species
GACGAACGCUGGCGGCAUGCCUAACACAUGCAAGUCUAGGGGUAGCAAUACCACUGGCGCACGGGUGAGUAACACGUAGGUUAUCUGCCCCCAUCACAGACAUAACCCCGGGAAACCGGGGCUAAUAUCUGAUGAGGUCGCGAGAUCAAAGCUUCGGCGGAUGGGGAUGAGCCUGCGGCUGAUUAGCUAGUUGGUGAGGUAAUGGCUCACCAAGGCGACGAUCAGUAGCUGGUCUGAGAGGACGAACAGCCACACUGGAACUGAGACACGGUCCAGACUCCUACGGGAGGCAGCAGUGAGGAAUAUUGGUCAAUGGGAGCAAUCCUGAACCAGCAAUGCCGCGUGUGGGA